rnacentral:rRNA from 1 species
UCCCGUUGAUCCUGCGGGAGAUUGCUGCUAUUAGGAUUCGACUAAGCCAUGCAAGUCAAGGGGGCGCAAGCCACCGGCAGAAUGCUCAGUAACACGUCGAUAAUCUACUCUUAGAUCUGGGAUAACCUUGGUAAACUGAGGCUAAACCCGGAUAGAAGAUUUGUUCUGGAAUGAUAUUUCUUUGAAAAGCAAUGUCUAAGGAUGAGUCGGCGACCGAUUAGGUUGUUGGUGAGGUAAAGGCUCACCAAGCCUAUGAUCGGUAGGGGCCUUGAGAGAGGUAACCCCGAGAAGGGCACUGAGAUACAGGCCCUAGCCCUACGGGGUGCAGCAGGCGCGGAACCUUUACAAUGCACGAAAGUGUGAUAGGGGGAUCCCGAGUGCUUAACUUUUAGUUAGGCUUUUGCCAAGGGUAAAUACCUUGGCGAAUAAGUGGUGGGUAAGACUUGUGCCAGCCGCCGCGGUAACACCAGCGCCACAAGUGGCAACCGCUUUUAUUGGGCCUAAAGCGUCCGUAGCCGGUUUAGUAAAUUUCCUGUGAAAUCGUUGGGCUUAACUUAACGGCGUGCAGGAAACACUACUGAACUAGGGACCGGGAGGCGUCAGAGGUAUUCCUGAGGGAGCGGUAAAAUGCUAUAAUCUCAGGAGGACCACCUGUGGCGAAGGCGUCUGACGAGAACGGAUCCGACGGUGAGGGACGAAAGCUAGGGGAGCAAACCGGAUUAGAUACCCGAGUAGUCCUAGCUGUAAACUCUGCGAGCUAGGUGUUGCGUAUUCUUCGGGAAUACGUAGUGUCGAAGCGAAGGUGUUAAGCUCGCCGCCUGGGAAUUAUGGUCGCAAGACUGAAACUUAAAGGAAUUGGCGGGGGAGCACUACAAGGGGUGCGGCGUGCGGUUUAAUCUAAUUCAACACAGAGAAUCUCACCAGCAGCGACGGCAGGAUGAAAGUCAGAUUAAGGGUCUUACUUGACGAGCCGAGAGGUAGUGCAUGGCCGCCGUCAGCUCGUUCCGUAAGGUGUCCUGUUAAGUCAGGCAACGAGCGAGAUCCAUAUCUGCAAUUGCUAACAGGUUCUUCGGAAGAAGCGAGCACACUGCAGGGACUGCCCUGGAAACAGGGAGGAAGGUGCAGGCUACGGUAGGUCUGUAUGCUCCGAAUCUGCUGGGCUACACGCGCGCGACAAUGGUAUAGACAAUAGGAUGCGACUCCGAAAGGAGAAGCUAAUCCACGAAACUAUGUCUUAGUUCAGAUUGAGGGUUGUAACUCACCCUCAUGACGAUGGAAUCCCUAGUAAUCGGGUCUCAUCACAGCCCGGUGAAUAUGUCCCUGCUCCUUGCACUCACCGCCCCGU